UGAGCCAAAGGCAGACGCUUAACGACUGAGCCACCCAGGCGCCCCGCUAUAAUGAACUUCUGAAUGCCGUUGGUGAUGUUUUGUUAGCAAGCGACCAUGCUGUGCACAGCCUUAUGGAGUGGUCCAUGAACUGGAGCCUCCAGCUACCAGCCAGCAAGAAACUGAGGCCAGCCAACAGCUGUAUGAGCAAGCUGGAAACAUCCUCCCGUCCUCACUGAGCCUUCAUGAGACUACAGAUACAGGGCUGGAGGCUGCUGCUUACCAAGCUGUAAAUUGCCACCAAGAUUGUGUCAAGCAGAGGCACCUGGGUGGGUCAG